rnacentral:rRNA from 1 species
UGGGGAAUAUUGGACAAUGGGCGAAAGCCUGAUCCAGCAAUGCCGCGUGAGUGAAGAAGGCCUUAGGGUUGUAAAGCUCUUUCAGUAGGGAAAAUAAUGAUGGUACCUACAGAAGAAGCCCCGGCUAACUCUGUGCCAGCAGCCGCGGUAAUACAGAGGGGGCUAGCGUUGUUCGGAAUUACUGGGCGUAAAGAGCGCGUAGGCGGUCUACCAAGUUGGAAGUGAAAUCCCGAGGCUUAACCUCGGAACUGCUUUCAAAACUGGUAAACUAGAGAUCAGUAGAGGAUGGUGGAAUUCCUAGUGUAGAGGUGAAAUUCUUAGAUAUUAGGAGGAACACCGGUGGCGAAGGCGGCCAUCUGGGCUGCAUCUGACGCUGAGGCGCGAAAGCGUGGGGAGCAAA